CGGGUGGAUCACGAUGCAAUUUUGAUUCUUUUUGCUGUAAAAUUGCACGGUAUCCAUCUGUA
rnacentral:pre_miRNA from 1 species